GGGGGGGGGGGGGGGGGGGGCGGCUAAAGGGAUCAGAAAGAAGGUAAGAAAAGCAAGCAAGAGCGAUCAGCCUUGCAGCCCUGGCAUGGGUGGGACGCGCCGGGCAGCUGCCUGGUUCUGCGGGGAGUGGGAAAUCGCUGCUCCGGGUUGUGCUGCGUGGCGCGGGCGCGGGCGCGGCCCCAGCUUCCUGCUCCUCGCUGUCCUCGGGGCAGGGACUGCCAGGCUGAGUCAGGGAGGCUUCGCGGUGACUCAGCACGGUCUGCACCAGCCUGCCCAGCCGGGCCCCGCCGCCGUGCUGGCAGGAGGGAGGAAUGCGUGGCCCGGGGCACGGCCGGGACGCGGGGCUGCCAGAGUAGCCUUCCCGGCCCUUUCCGCCGGUCCUGGCUUCCAGGAUUCGGGGCGAGGCGGGGGCGCGGGGGUCGGGGGGGAGAGCGGCCUCCUGCGGCGCCACCCACCCGCCUCGGAACGGACUGCGGAGCCGGCUGCGGGCCAGAGGAGGCCCGGCGCGCUCUCGUCGCUCGCGUUUGAGGUCGGAGCUGAAGCUCAGAUUUGCAAGAUACCAGGACUGAUUUUAAUGCAGAUCUGACAUUAGGUAUGUGCAACACCCUCGCAGAGGGGCCGGCAGAGUGAAAAUCAUGCAUGUGAGCAGGAAAGAGACCAGCCGGGCAGGUGCUCUUGUGACUGGGACAGAAGGGAAACGCAGAGUACCUCCAUGAAAGCGGGCACACAGGGCAGCAGGUGGGCAUCAAGGAAGGAGAAGAGGAGACCCGGGGAGGAGUGGACCAGGCUGAUGGCCUGGGUGCAGGGCUGCGCCUGGACGGGCGGUACUGAGACAUCUUCUUCCUAAAGACUCAGCAUCCCAAGACUGCAAAGACCACGCAGAAUCCGGCUCCCUGAUGCUGUUGUCCAUCCUCACGCUCUGCCUCAAAGCCUGAACUCUGAGAGCAGCAACUUUUCAGGGCAAAGUACAGUUAAGGUCAGUUUGGUCCAAAGAUGCACACGAAGCUUUGUAGAAAAGACCAGUCUUGUGCCGUAAUUUUGUUGUUUGCAUAUUGUUAUUUGCCCUUAAAAAAUUCCACAUUGCUCAAUAAAUCUGGACACAACUCUUUAUUCAAAUAACUCUUUAUUCCCACAGACAGAGGAACUUAACUCACACUUCCUGUCAUCUAGCAGCAGAGAGCAAUGACCGCAGGGUGACCUUUAAAAUGUAAGGCUUUCAUUAGCAUUAACCUAAAUGCUUGUCUUCCGGUUUGCAGCAGAAUAUUCACAUCUCAGAAUCUUCCAGUUGUACCAUGACAGCAAGAGGGGAGCUUCUGAUUUCCUCCCCCUUCUAUUUAAUCCUGAGAUCGGGAGUUGGCACCGUUCUUGUGCAAAGGGCCAAAUGGUUAGUAUUUUUGGCUUUCUUAAAUCAACUGUCUUGGAAAACCAAAAAUAAAUAAAAUCAGUCUAAAAUUGGUAUCAUUCUGUUACUUUCAAAAAAGGAAUAAUUUUAACAAGCCAUGCACAUUUUAAAAAGCUAAUGUUAACAAAGUUAUCUCAAUAGAAAAAUAGAUGUUAUGUUUUGAAGCCUUUCUUAAUUUUAAAAGUAGGGGCCAGGGAUACAGCUCAGUGGUGCAGCGCCUUCCUGGCAAGCACAAGGUCCAGAGUUUGAUUCCUGGUACAACCUAAAUAAAUAAAUAAAUAAAUAAAUAAAUAAAUAAAUAAAUAAAUAAAAGGUAAAAUCAAG
rnacentral:lncRNA from 1 species